rnacentral:rRNA from 1 species
GAUGAACGCUGGCGGCGUGCCUAAUACAUGCAAGUCGAGCGAACAGACGAGGAGCUUGCUCCUUUGACGUUAGCGGCGGACGGGUGAGUAACACGUGGGUCACCUACCUAUAAGACUGGGAUCACUUCGGGAAACCGGCGCUAAUACCGGAUAAUAUUUCGAACCGCAUGGUUCGAUAGUGAAAGAUGGCUUUGCUAUCACUUAUAGAUGGACCUGCGCCGUAUUAGCUAGUUGGUAAGGUAACGGCUUACCAAGGCAACGAUACGUAGCCGACCUGAGAGGGUGAUCGGCCACACUGGAGCUGGGACACGGUCCAGACUCCUACGGGAGGCAGCAGUAGGGAAUCGUCCGCAAUGGGCGAAAGCCUGGCGGAGCAACGCCGCGUGAGUGAUGAAGGUCUUCGGAUCGUAAAACUCUGUUAUUAGUGAAGAACAAACGUGUAAGUAACUGUGCACGUCUUGACGGUACCUAGUCAGAAAGCCACGGCUAACUACGUG